rnacentral:rRNA from 1 species
GGGAAAACAAUAGGAAAGAAACGCGGAAAAAUGCCCCCGAAAGUGAGGGAGAGGGGGUGCCCAGGAAAGGAGGACGGAAAGAAAAAGCACAAGCAACUGUAAAACAAAAACACAGGUCGAGGAAAAACCGAAAGGUGAUUUAUAUGGGCUGACCCCUGCCCGGUGCUGGAAGGUUAAGAGGAGAGGUAAGACAAAUCGAAGCUUUGAAUUAAACCCCCAGAAAACGGCGGCCGUAACUAUAACGGUCCUAAGGUAGCGAAAUUCCUUGUCGGGUAAGUUCCGACCCGCACGAAAGGCGUAAUGAUUUGAGCGCUGUCUCGACAAUGCAUCCGGUGAAAUUGAAGUACCAGUGAAGAUGCUGGUUACCCGCGCCAGGACGGAAAGACCCCAUGGAGCUUUACUCCAGUUUGGUACUGGGGUCCGGCAGUGCAUGUACAGGAUAGGUGGGAGGCUGUGAACCUGGAACGCCAGUUUCAGGGGAGCCAUUGUUGGGAUACCACCCUUGUGCUGCUGGGCUUCUAACCAGCGGCCUUUAUCAGGCCGGGGGACAAUGCCAGACGGGGAGUUUGACUGGGGCGGUCGCCUCCGAAAGGGUAUCGGAGGCGCUCAAAGGUUCCCUCAUAAUGGUUGGAAACCAUUAGAAGAGUGCAAAGGCAUAAGGGAGCUUGACUGCGACACCGACGGGUGGAGCAGGUAGGAAACUAGGACUUAGUGAUCCGGUGGUAUGAAAGUGGGAUUGCCAUCGCUCAACGGAUAAAAGCUACCCUGGGGAUAACAGGCUUAUCACUCCCAAGAGUUCACAUCGACGGAGUGGUUUGGCACCUCGAUGUCGGCUCAUCGCAUCCUGGGGCUGGAGUAGGUCCCAAGGGUUGGGCUGUUCGCCCAUUAAAGCGGUACGCGAGCUGGGUUCAGAACGUCGUGAGACAGUUCGGUCCCUAUCCGGCGCGGGCGUAAGAGAUUUGAGAGGAGCUGUCCUUAGUACGAGAGGACCGGGAUGGACGGACCACUGGUGUAUCUGUUGCACCACCAGGUGCACGGCAGAGUAGCCAAGUCUGGAAGGGAUAAACGCUGAAGGCAUCUAAGCGUGAAGCCCCCCUCAAGAUAAGAUCUCUCAUUCGAAAGAAGUAAGACCCCUUGAAGACGACGAGGUAGAUAGGGCAGGGGUGGAAGGGCAGUAAUGUCCGGAGCUGACUGUUACUAAUCGGUCGAGGGCUUGACCAA